CCCUUAGAUGUUCUGGGCCGCACGCGUGCUACACUGAGUGGAUCAGCGGGUCAGGUUGCGCGAAAGUGUUUCCUAAUCUUGAAAUCCGCUCGUGAUGGGGAUUGACGGUUGCAAUUUUCCGUCAUGAACGAGGAAUACCUUGUAAGCGCGGGUCAUCAUCCCGCGCUGAUUACGUCCCUGCCCUUUGUACACACCGCCCGUCGCACCUACCGAUUGGAUGGUCCGGUGAAGCCUCGGGAUUGUGGUUCUUGCCGCUUUAUUGUGGCGUGACCGCGAGAACUUGUCUAAACCUUAUCAUCUAGAGGAAGGUGAAGUCGUAACA
rnacentral:rRNA from 1 species